UGUCCUCUUGGGGCUAUUCAGAGAUGUUCAUGGUGAUGAAACGAGCUGGCCUGGAAUGGCAGUUCCCAGGUAGCAGAGCCUGGGCUUGAGGAAGGUGGAACGUGGGUGUGGCAAGGAGCUGGCAGGUGCAAAUGUCAGGCCAGCAAUGCAGUCCAGCCUGCACGGACGUGCGUCACCUAGGAAGUUGUGACCUGGCUGCAGUUUCCACUUCAGGCUACAGAGUGCGGUGGCGCCAGCACAGAGCUCUGCUCAACGUCCCUCUGUGCUUUCACGAUGCUGAUGGAUUAUGAAGAUGAGGAAGCGGAUGCAUAGCAAGUUUAAAUAGCUUGCAG
ensembl:lncRNA novel transcript